GCGUACGGCCAUACUACCGGGAAUACACCUGAACCCGUUCGAUUUCAGAAGUUAAGCCUGGUCAGGCCCAGUUAGUACUGAGGUGGGCGACCACUUGGGAACACUGGGUGCUGUACGCU
rnacentral:rRNA from 12 species